CUCAGCGGGACCGGCAGCAUCUAUGGAGAGAAGGAAUGGAUGAAAUUUCGGGUCGAGACUCUUCUUCAGUCUGAAGAAGGGUCUCGAUGCGAAACGUCACGCAUUGCUUCUCUCCAGAGAUGCUGCUGGUCCUGCUGAGUUACUCCAGAAUGUUGUGUCUAUGUCCAAUCAUCUUGGCCCCGCUCUGGGAGUAGGAGUGGGGGCGGAUCCGGAUCUACAACGGCCGCGGGUCCCAGGCUGAGCUCGGCGAUCGCUUGCCUGCUUCUGCUGCUGUUAGAGAUAGUAAUAUACAUCAACAAGGUCAACAAACAAGCGCUUGAAUCCACAAAAAAAUGGCUUCUUCAGCAAAACCAAAUAUGGGCUAACCUUUCCUUAUUGGAAGAACCUGUCAAUCCUAACAGGCAAGAGGCUGUACAAUACUCUGUAAGUCAAUCUGUAAUUCAGAACAGCUGAGUACUUAAGCAGCGACCAAGAUACACCUCCCUUUCACUGGUGAAGAAACGGUCCUCCCAUGAUGCUGCAGGAAACAAGCUCCAGGAAUUUAACCCAAUGAUGAAGGAAGAGUGACUUCGACACCACCACAAUCAUGGCCAAAGACGAGAUUUUGCAGACCUGCUAAGAUCUGGAUGGAGAAUGCACAAAAUAAUCUUUUGUAGGAUCCUCACAGCGAUCAGAAUCUCUUCUGCCAUACGUCUGAAACGGAUUGAUGUCUUGGCCUCACAAUCAAACUGCGUGAAAAUAACCAGAUCUAAUUAGAAAAACAUCGAAGAAAAAUCAAUGGUUAAAGUGCAGGGUUGAAGAUGCCACCACAUACAGGCUGUCUGUAAAGGUUACAUUUUGACUGAAGAGAAUGAGAGAUUUCUGGACUAUGACACCGCCAUUGUGGGCAGGAUAUCAAAUUAUGAUGAGACGGAAUACAAGAGAUUGAGAACCUCGGGUCGAGGCAACAACCUUUUUCACAAUGUCAGCAAGACAAAGGAGAUAAUGAUCAACUUCAGGAAGCGAAGUGGUACACAUACCCCAGUUUGCAUUGAUGGCUGAAAACUUCAAAUUCAUAGAUACAAGAUACAAGAGAUACAAGAUACAUUUAAUUGUCAUUUGGACCCCUUGAGGUCCAAACGAAAUGCCGUUAUAGGAGUAAAUAUCACCAACAACUUCAACUAGAUCACCCACAUUGAAGUAACGACCAAGAACGCACACCAACACUACUAUUUCCUCGGAAGGAUUAGGAAGUUCGGCAUGUCCACAACUUUUACCAACUUCUACAGACAAAAGGUAUAGAAGUGUGAAAACGCACACCAUCAGAUUCAGGAACAGUUUCUUCCCAGCUGUUAUCAGGCAAAUGAAUCAUCCUACCACAAUCUAAGAGCAGUGCUGAGCUACUAUCUACUUAUUUGAUGACCCUUGGACUAUCCUUGAUCAGACUUUGCUGGCUUUACCUUGCACUAAACGUUAUACACUGUAAAUGGAUCGAUUGUAAUCAAUGCAUUGUCUUUCUGUUGACUGGUUAGCAUGCAACAAAAAGCUUUCCACUGUACCUCGGUAAACGUGACAAUAAACUAAACUGAAACAUAACUGAAUGUAAUAACAUGACAAGUGUGAACAGUAAUUUUAUGAACCUUACAAUGAAAAGAGGAAUCUGUACUUACAAUAAAAUCUUCCUUCAAUUCAUGGAGUAGUUUUAUAUUGUAGCUUUUUGUUGCAGUGAGUAAUGUCUCAAAUAUUUUCAAUAUUAGAGUAUAUAAGGCUGAAUUGUGAUUGGUGCAAGUUUUUCCACGGAAAAUAAUAUAACCUGUAUAUAUAUGGGAACAAUGCCAAAAUUCAAGGUAUGACAUCUAUCUUGUGAUAGGAAGUAAUAUCUCAACAAUCGCACUGUUAUUAUAUAGAAUUCUACACAUUAUUUAUGAGGAUCUUUCAUUUAAACUUUAUUGGACCAAGUUUUGUUUUAAACAUGCCAGAAGGUGGCGGAGAUUGAAUAUGACCGUCUAUGAAAUUAAUUUUAUUCGUAAUUUAUUUAUUAAAUGUAUUAAUCUCUGCCAAUUGCGCCGAUCAUUACAUUCAGGUGAUCCUGGUGUGAGUAAUAGUAGGCAAUUUCAAAGAUGGCAGGAGUUCAACUAAAAAUGACAGGGAUAUGAAGGGUCUGCAUGCAAUUUCCUGAUUCAUGGGUGAUUUGGCACUCAUAGAACAGUUUACAAUUAUAAAGGAAAUUGUUAUUAGAAUCUCUUCACUUUAAAUGCCUACUUUUCUCAGCACUUAACAAACCAUUGCACCAAUAUUUCUCUUUUGUUGAUGUCACUGUACAAAAUGUUGCUACCAAAGGCAGGGUUUUAACAAUCUUAAGAUAGAUAUAGCAUGUAUAAAACCCCACGGCACAAGUUGAUCAUGAAUCACAUAUUUACAUUAAUCCUGUAUCACUCCCCUUAUAUUCUUCCCAUAUUCUCAUUAACUCAACAGAUUAUAUUAGUCACCCACACACGCGCGCCAAUUUACACUGGCCAGUUUACUUAUCUACCCACAUGCCUUUGAGAUGUUGGAGGAAACUAGUGCAUCCAGAGUAAAUUCACAUGGUCAUCGGGAGAACGUGCAAACUUCAUACAGACAGCAUUUGAGGUCAGAAUUGAACUUAGCUCUCUGCCACUAAUAGCUGUGCCAUUGUGCCACAAGAUCAUUUAAAGAAAUGGAAGCCAUAAGAACAGAGCUGAAAUGUUAAGUACCAGAGGGAAUAGUUUUAAGUUGAGAUAACAUAUUUAAUACAGGUUACAGGGCAAGUUGCUUUACACAGAUAGUAGGAGGUGUCUGGAAAUGGUGGAUGCAAAUAUGCCAUAGAGACAUUCAAACAGACACGUGAGCUAGCAGGAAAUUGAGGGAUCUAGACCAUGUGCAGGAAGAUGUGAAGUUUAAACUGGCAUCAUCAUCUGCACAGAUCUUGUGGGCUGCAGGGUCUGUUCCUGUGCUAUGCUCUUUAUUCAUCUUAUUCAUCCUUCCAUAGAGGUGCUCUAGUUACACUUACGGUAUCUGUGCACCUCCGUUUAAAGAAGACAUGGCAAGUGGCUGAUGCACACACAGGUUCCUAAUUCCUAAAGGAAACUGGAAUAAAAUAUUUAAUGGUACCAUUGAACUAUGUGAAUGCCCAGUUUAUAAUUGCAACUCAUUCACAAAGGGGGCUAAUUUUACUUUUCAGAUAAUCCCAAAAUUGGCAAAGGAAACAUGAAGCUCAAUACCAACUGAAAUACCUAAACAUACACUAUGAUGAAAUAAUCCAGGGUGACUGGCAGCCAGCACUGCGUUAUGACCACACCCAACACUGCAAACUUAGUGUUUCUAUCUUAAUACAGUUAAGGGAAAACCCUUGUAGGAUCAGAGCAAAGCACAAAGUCCUGGAGGAACUUAGUGGGUCAGGCAUUAACUAUGGAGGGAAUGGACAGAGGACGUUUUGCUUUGGGACCCAAGUCAAGUCAAGUCACGUCAAGCGAGUUUAUUUCUAUUUCAUGAUUCAAAAUAAACUGAUGAAGAUAAUUAUUUAAGCAAGUGGCCUAUUAGUUUCUUACAAUGGGCCCUUAAGCAAUCCAAGAAGUCAAAAUGUUACACAUGUUUUACAUUUAAGUCUUUCCUGAACAACAUGCAUAUAACUAGAUGGAAACAGUUCGCUCUGCCUUUAUUUUCCUCAAUCAAAACUAAUUUGAACUCAGGAGAGGAUCAAUUUUGUCAUUUAAUUCUUUGAUUAAACUCGAUUUUUUCAAGUUAAUAAUGGUCCUUUGCACAUCUUUAUCUGAAAUGCACUUUCUUCCCGUUUUUUGCAUUAAGGUUUAGUUUUCUACAUUUUAUUGUGGAUGUUAGAUUACAUUUUCAUCAAAGGUGUUAAUUAUUCUCAGCACUAUGCUUUCUAAUCCAGAGCCCAUAACAUUAUUUUCCAAUCAUUGAUGAUAAACCUGAUUUUGUCCUUCAGUUUUUUGGGGGGGAAUUCAUCACAGGGAAACUGCCUUUGGCUGCUAUUUUGCAUUCCAUGAAAUAUCAAUAUUCUGAAUUAUUAUGGGUGUAAAUAAUUAUAAUCAAAGCAAUAGUUCAUCAAAAAUAUAGAUAUCCGCAUGUGCAUAAUACGUGGAGUUAUCUGGACAUGAGUAAUGAUGUAAUUCUUCACUCAAAAGCCAAUGAACAUAAUUGCUGCAAAAUUGAAGCACGUGUUCAAGAGAAAAUGUGGUGCUUGACUGGGAACGAACGGCUAGUUCAUGUUUCUUAGAGGAACAGUCCACACCUGAACCAUUGUGGUUUGCAGUGAGAUCUUCAGGUUUUUUGUAGAAGGGGACAGAGCGCUGACAGAACUUAUACUUGCCCUUGCUCCAACUCUGACACUAUGAUGCCUGAUAGAACAUGUAGGGUAAGUUUGCAGGUGAAGCUAAAAUAGAUGAUAUCACGUACAGUGAAGAAGCGUAUGAAGAAAUACCUCAGGAUCUUGAUAGUAAGUGGGCCGAUGAAUGUUAAAUGGAUUCAAUUAGAUGCAAGGUGUUGAAUUUUGGUAAGUCAAACCAGGGUAAGAUUUUCACUGUUAGCAGUAGGGAUCUGGGGUGUAAUGUAGAUGAGGGACCGGAGGGGUACAAAACAUGAAAGUUAAUUGAAAGUGUCAUCACUGGAAGACGAAGUGUUGAAGUGGUUUUUAGCACCCAUGCUUUCAUCAGUAAUGGCAUUAUAAAGAAAUUGGGUUGUUAUGUUGCCAUUGUACAAGACGUUGGUCAGGCCGCAUUUGGAGUAUUGUGGUCAGUUUUGGUCAUUCUGUACUGUUGUACUGUAAAGGUUUACAAAGAUGUUGCCAGGUCUCAAGGGACAGUUAUAGGGAGAGAUGAACGUACACACUAUUCUUCCCAAGGGUGAGGAUAUCAAGAACUAGAGGACAUAGGUUUAAGGUGAGAGUUUAAAGAUUUAGAAGUAAACUAGGGAGCAGCUAUUUCACACAGAGAGUGAUACGUAUAUGGAAGGAGAUGUCAGAGAAUGUUGUUCAGGCAGGUUCUAUAACAACAUUAAAAAUAUAUUGUUUGUUCAUGGAUAAAGUAAGUUCAAAGGGAUAUGGGUUAAACGUGCACAAAUGGAACUAGCUUAGAUGGGCAUUUUGGUCUGCAUGAAUGGAUUGUGCCGAAAGGCCUGUUUCAAUGCUGUGUCUCUAUAGAGAACCCUGCUCAUUAAGAGCUCUAUCCACUCGGGCACUGCAUAAAUAAAUUCAAGGUUUCCACAUGAAUUAUGAAUUUAUGCUUAGUUACCAAUUUGAGGAAUCCUUUCGUUUUCUUGCUCCAUGCACCACUUCUUUUAUGUCAUGAACAGUUCUGCAGUCAUGAAUCAAACUGCCACGAAACUGCAUACAGCUCAAUUUUAGUAAAUUUCUUUGCAUUAUACAUUUUCAUUCUCUUUAAGAUGAUUUCAAUUGGUGUUUUCAUUCAAACAUUUACUGUAGUAAACUCUGAUCAGUGAUCUGUUCAGCCAGGUAAUCACAUUGAAUACUAUGCGCAAACCAGGACCAGAUGCAGCUUGCAUACCAGUAAAGUGGUUUAUUAAUGUGAUACUGUUACAUUAAAUAUCUUCUGAGCAAUGCAAAUGCUGAAGAGUAUUGUGCAGAAAAUUAUUCUAAUUUUUUUUUUAAUGAUCUUGGAGCAACUAAACCAAAUGACGUCAAAGGUUAUGAGAAGGCAGGAGAAUGGGGUUGAGAGGGAAAAUAAGAUCAGUCACGAUUGAAUGGAAGAGCAGGUCGACUGGCCUAAUUCUGCUCCCAUGUCUUAUGGUUUAAAUUGAAAAAAAAUCAGUUUAAUAAGCCUAAUGCUAUAGGGUAGAUGAGGAACUAAAUUAUUGUUUUAUCUGAACAGUAUUUGAAUUAGAAUCAGAAUUAGCACAUUAUAAAAAAAAUGUCAACCAAGUAAAAUGAUCAAGAAAUAGAUUUAGAAAAGAGAAACAGAUUUUUUUCAAGAAUUCGCAGUUGGUUUGGACAAGCAAGUAGAAUGAAUAUUAGCAGUCUAUGAUGCAUUCUUACACUAAAGCAAGACCAAGACAAGGAGAACAGAAGUACUGAUUAGACUGUAUUAAGGAUGUAACAUGAUUAAAAUUAACUUAUGUUACUGUAUACUAUACAUCUUGUAUAAAGAGUUGGUCUAAAUUUUACUUGUGCACCAUUCAUUAAUUUGAUAACAUUAUGUCGUCUCAUUGGUUACUUUGUUGAAAGCUGAUACACGGAAGAUUUUUCAAUUUAUCUUAAACCUGGAAAGUUAUAUAGAUGUAUCACCUGUAGCAGUGCUUAAUUCCUAAUGCUGCAAGUAUUCCAACAGCCUUGUUCCAAACAGACGUCUAUAUAGGCUAAUGAGACAACACAUUCAAUAGUUCAACUAGAACUAGAAGAGGGGAGACAUUGACAAAAAAUAUCCAGGAUUCUAUGAGAGAUGAGGAGGCUUGCAGUAUAUAAUGGAUCAUUGAAUAUUUAUUUGAUAAAUAUGAAUACAAUCAUUAAAGUAAGAAAGCAUCUAAUUUAAGAGUAACGAGUUAAAAAGAUGAGUAGAAGGUAUGUACCAAUAUGGAUUUUGAGAACAUGGUAUACAAAGCAUGCAGCUGAGUAUUCUGUACAAAUUACACUAAAAAAGAUAGGCUAAACUUGGAAAAUUUUUAGAUAUCUAUAUUCGAUCACAUUGCCACAGAGGCAAAAUAAAGGUAAAGUAAACAAUGACACCAAGUGAUUGUUAAUCUACACAUUUUGUGUAGGAGUUUUCUGGCAAAGACUGAUUUCUCCCUGAAGAGAAAGAUGGAUUUCAUAUGAGGGUGGGGGA